rnacentral:rRNA from 1 species
UACGGAGGGUGCAAGCGUUAUCCGGAUUCACUGGGUUUAAAGGGUGCGUAGGUGGGUAUGUAAGUCAGUGGUGAAAUCCCCGAGCUUAACUUGGGAACUGCCGUUGAUACUAUAUAUCUUGAAUGUCGUAGAGGUAAGCGGAAUAUGUCAUGUAGCGGUGAAAUGCUUAGAGAUGACAUAGAACACCAAUUGCGAAGGCAGCUUGCUAUGCGAUUAUUGACACUGAGGCACGAAAGCGUGGGUAGCAAAC